UACAGAGGGGGCAAGCGUUGUUCGGAAUUACUGGGCGUAAAGGGCGCGUAGGCGGCCGCCUAAGUCAGACGUGAAAUCCCUCGGCUCAACCGGGGAACUGCGUCUGAUACUGGGUGGCUUGAAUCCGGGAGAGGGAUGCGGAAUUCCAGGUGUAGCGGUGAAAUGCGUAGAUAUCAGGAGGAACACCGGUGGCGAAGGCGGCUUUCUGGACAGAAACUGACACUGAGGCGCGAAAGCUAGGGGAGCAAACAGG
rnacentral:rRNA from 1 species